rnacentral:rRNA from 1 species
AGAGUUUGAUCCUGGCUCAGCCUGAACGCUGGCGGCGUGGCUAAGACAUGCAAGUCGUACGGUGCAGCAAUGCACAGUGGCGAACGGGUGAGUAAUGAAUCGCUAACGUACCCCGGACUCUGGGAUAGCUACCCGAAAGGGUAGGUAAUACCAAAUGACACCCUCCUUCCGCAUGGUGGGAGGUUCAAAGGUCCGCCGGUCUGGGAGCGGGCGAUUUCGUAUCAGCUAGUUGGUGGGGUAACGGCCCACCAAGGCGACGACGCGUAGCCGGACUGAGAGGUUGGCCGGCCACAUUGGGACUGAGACACUGCCCAGACUCCUACGGGGGGCUGCAGUAACGAAUCUUCCGCAAUGCACGAAAGUGUGACGGAGCGACGCCGCGUGUGGGACGAAGCCCUUCGGGGUGUAAACCACUGUCAGGGGUAGGAAAGUUCUGAUCCACCCCAGAGGAAGGCACGGCUAACUCUGUGCCAGCAGCCGCGGUAAGACAGAGGUGCCGAGCGUUAGGCGGAAUCACUGGGCUUAAAGCGUGUGUAGGCGGAUCGUUAAGUACCUUGUGAAAUCCCACGGCUCAACCGUGGAACUGCUGGGUAUACUGGCGAUCUUGAGCCACUUAGGGGCUGUCGGAACAGACGGUGGAGCGGUGAAAUGCGUAGAUAUCGUCUGGAACGCCAACGGUGAAAACAGACAGCUGGGAGUGCGCUGACGCUGAGACACGAAAGCCAGGGGAGCGAACGGCAUUAGA